GUCAUUACUGAGCCUGCAAAUAACAAUAUAUCAGAUUUUGUAUGCAACUUUAAAGGAAAUUACUGCAAUGUGUCGUGGCUUACCAGAAAGCUCUUCUUGUAAGAUUCAACUAGUUCUUUGGAAUCUGGUUUUGUCUGCUUCUGCAGCAAUGAGUGUUUUGUGGAAGUAAUAGCAGUGAGUUACCGAUGGAAGAAUAUUGCUGCUUGUGUGCACAUUAGAGGAGAGGGACAGCAGUGAAACAAUUGAAGAAGAUGUCAAGCACACCUUAAGCGUGGAGAAAAAGGAUUAACCACUGGACACAAAUGGGACCUACCUCAAUCCAGGCUGCAAGUUUAGGCCUGCCUGCAGUAAUGUCAUACUUGAAUACUUCUGAUAAGAAGAUUUGUAAUCUUUCCACAAAUGUUAUGUAGGCUAUGUCCGCCUGAAGAAGACAUGAAUAGUUCCAUUCAAAUCAAAGGAAGAACACUUAAAUCA